ACCAAAUUAGACAACACAAUACGACAAAACAUAAAAAAAAAGAAAAAAAAAAAAGAAAAAAAAAAGAGAUCAGAAUACGUGAAGAGGGAUUGAACUGCCUUGAACGUUGAGAGAGGGUUUCAUUUUAGAGAUAAAAAAGCUUUCAUGAAUAAGGAGUUCUUGUUCAUCUGAACAAGAGGAGAGGAUUUCGAAGUCGUCAAUAGAAGCAGCGUGGCCUGGAGCGGGAUAUGUCAAUGUCAAGAAAUGGGAGCUUACCAUCACGUUCAACCUCACUAGUGAAGCGAAUGUUGGUGUGCUGGCGAUU